AAUAGAUACCCUGGUAGUCCACGCCGUAAACGAUGAGUGCUAAGUGUUAGAGGGUUUCCGCCCUUUAGUGCUGCAGCAAACGCAUUAAGCACUCCGCCUGGGGAGUACGGUCGCAAGACUGAAACUCAAAGGAAUUGACGGGGGCCCGCACAAGCGGUGGAGCAUGUGGUUUAAUUCGAAGCAACGCGAAGAACCUUACCAGGUCUUGACAUCCUUCGCUACUUCUAGAGAUAGAAGGUUCCCCUUCGGGGGACGGAGUGACAGGUGGUGCAUGGUUGUCGUCAGCUCGUGUCGUGAGAUGUUGGGUUAAGUCCCGCAACGAGCGCAACCCUUGACCUUAGUUGCCAGCAUUCAGUUGGGCACUCUAAGGUGACUGCCGGUGACAAACCGGAGGAAGGUGGGGAUGACGUCAAAUCAUCAUGCCCCUUAUGACCUGGGCUACACACGUGCUACAAUGGAUGGUACAAAGGGCUGCAAGACUGCGAAGUCAAGCCAAUCCCAUAAAACCAUUCUCAGUUCGGAUUGCAGG
rnacentral:rRNA from 1 species